rnacentral:rRNA from 1 species
UACGUAGGGUGCGAGCGUUAAUCGGACUUACUGGGCGUAAAGCGUGCGUAGGUGGUUUACUAAGUCAGGUGUGAAAGCCCUGGGCUCAACCUGGGAAUUGCAUUGGAUACUGGCGAGCUAGAGUGCGGUAGAGGAUGGCGGAAUUCCCGGUGUAGCAGUGAAAUGCGUAGAGAUCGGGAGGAACAUCUGUGGCGAAGGCGGCCAUCUGGACCAGCACUGACACUGAGGCACGAAAGCGUGGGGAGCAAACAGG